rnacentral:tmRNA from 2 species
CACCUUGAAUUUCUGCCCACACUCCACUACUUUCAGAUUGCCGUCGCGAGACGGAUAUGGUGCUAAACCGACUGUGCAAUAGACGAACCGGACGCGGUUUCGAAACCGCCACCUCCACUGAGAGCCCACGUACGGCGUGGGUUGUCAUUGGGGGUGAAAUGGGAUCGACGGGCGUUGAAAGACAGUUCGCUGUACCCGGCAUUGUACCACCGUUAUCGGGCUAAACUUAUAGUUGCCAACGACAACUAUGCUGAGGCACGUCUCGCUGCUUAAUGCGGCGCGAUAGUCUCGAAUCAAGCCCUAGGGGUUAGCCCCUCUAGGCGGGGUCCGGAGGUACCUGGCAACAGAAACCUCCACU